rnacentral:rRNA from 1 species
CGCGUGUAUGAAGAAGGCCUUCGGGUUGUAAAGUACUUUCAGVCGUGAGGAAGGCGGCGUCGUUAAUAGCGGCGUUGUUUGACGUUAGCGACAGAAGAAGCACCGGCUAACUCCGUGCCAGCAGCCGCGGUAAUACGGAGGGUGCGAGCGUUAAUCGGAAUUACUGGGCGUAAAGCGCAUGCAGGUGGUUUGUUAAGUCAGAUGUGAAAGCCCGGGGCUCAUCCUCGGAAUAGCAUUUGAAACUGGCAGACUAGAGUACUGUAGAGGGGGGUAGAAUUUCAGGUGUAGCGGUGAAAUGCGUAGAGAUCUGAAGGAAUACCGGUGGCGAAGGCGGCCCCCUGGACAGAUACUGACACUCAGAUGCGAAAGCGUGGGGAGCAAACAGGAUUAGAUACCCUGGUAGUCCACGCCGUAAACGAUGUCUACUUGGAGGUUGUGGCCUUGAGCC